UACGUAGGGGGCAAGCGUUGUCCGGAAUCAUUGGGCGUAAAGGGCUCGUAGGCGGCCAACUAAGUCAUACGUGAAAUCCCUCGGCUUAACCGGGGAACUGCGUCCGAUACUGGAUGGCUUGAAUCCGGGAGAGGGAUGCAGAAUUCCAGGUGUAGCGGUGAAAUGCGUAGAUAUCUGGAGGAAUACCGGUGGCGAAGGCGGCAUCCUGGACCGGCAUUGACGCUGAGGAGCGAAAGCCAGGGGAGCAAACGGG
rnacentral:rRNA from 1 species